rnacentral:rRNA from 1 species
UACGGGGGGGGCAAGCGUUGUUCGGAAUUACUGGGCGUAAAGGGCCAGUAGGCGGCCAACUAAGUCACACGUGAAAUCCCCAGGCUUAACCUGGGAACUGCGUGUGAUACUGGAUGGCUUGAAUUCGGGAGAGGGAUGCAGAAUUCCAGGUGUAGCGGUGAAAUGCGCAGAUAUCAGGAAGAACACCCGUGGCGAAGGCGGCUCUCUGGGACGGUACUGACGCUGAGACGCGAAAGCGUGGGGAGCGAACAGG